GCAUUCAGAAUAUAUAGAGAAAAAAAUGAUUUUGAGUCUGGGUCCACCAAACCUGCACUCCAGGGUUACCAGCAUUCAUUUGUCAGCACUGUGACCAGUACUCCCCAUUCACAUGUUGUACACACGUUGGCAUCAUCACCUGUGAGCAGACCACUGCCAGCCCGUCAGCCCAGCGGACAGGGGCAGCCCAUUCAACCAGUGGGUUGAACACCAGCCCAGAGCCUCCAUGAGUCCAGAACAGUGUCUGGUCACCUCCUCAGUGGAGAGAGGACUUUUCAGCGGUUCAUUUAGUGUUCAACACAGUUACUUACCCUGUGUUUAUUGUUGCCUUACCUUGUUGGCUCGCUCUCUCCUUUUGAGAGAGUAGUUUUGAGUUGGUUUUCCUUUGUCAGUAUAGAAUAAAUACACUUUAGUUUGCACAUAA